GGUGGCUCAGUGGUAGAGUGCUUGCCUUUCAUGCAUGAAUCCCUGGGUUCGAUUCCUCAGCACCA
rfam:Dipodomys ordii contig_40410, whole genome shotgun sequence.